rnacentral:rRNA from 1 species
CUACGGGAGGCACCAGUGGGGAAUAUUGCACAAUGGAGGAAACUCUGAUGCAGCAACGCCGCGUGGAGGAUGACACUUUUCGGAGCGUAAACUCCUUUUAUAUAGGAAGAAGAUGACGGUACUAUAUGAAUAAGCGCCGGCUAACUCCGUGCCAGCAGCCACGGUAAUACGGAGGGCACAAGCGUUACUCGGAAUCACUGGGCGUAAAGAGCGUGUAGGCGGAUUAAAAAGUCAGAAGUGAAAUCCCAUAGCUUAACUAUAGAACUGCUUCUGAAACUCUUAAUCUAGAAUAUGGGAGAGGUAGAUGGAAUUUCUGGUGUAGGGGUAAAAUCCGUAGAGAUCAGAAGGAAUACCGAUUGCGAAGGCGAUCUACUAGAACAUUAUUGACGCUGAGACGCGAAAGCGUGGGGAGCAAACAGGAUUAGAUACCCGCGUAGUC